UGCCCGCCACCAGCAACAUGGCGCCAACUCCAGCCAAUGCAAUCAAUAGCAUGCAAUAUAAUCCCCUCCUGGCUGACCCUGCGUGCCCCUGUGGCUUGCCCUGCUCCCGGGGGCGUGCAGGGAGUGGUGGGCGCUCCUGGGGGCGCGGGCGGGCAGGAGGCUGAGGGCGGGAUGGGCGCCACUAGCCACACCAGCCUCCAUCAAUAGCAUGCAAUAUAAUCCCUUCCUGGCCGCCCCCUGUGGCCUGACCUGUUCCCGGGGGCGUGCAGGGAGUGGAGGGCGUGGGCGGGCAGGAGGCUGAGGGCGGGAAGGGCGCCACUUCAGCCACACAGCCUCCUGCCCGUCCAGCCUCCAUCUAAUACGCAAAUCAUUUUAGCCUUUAACGCCGCCUCUCGUUACGCAUUCUGCCAACUCAUGGGUAUGCGUGCCCCCGGGGAACCUCGCCUGUGCUGGGCUGCCCCGGGGAGGCUGCGGGGGCGCCUGUCACGCCUAAAACACCGUGGCAAAAGUCUGUCUGUCUGUGUUUGUUUGGCUGGGUGGCACCAAGUUGGGGACCUUGGACUUGGUGUUUGGCCUUCCUUGGCGGGGUAGCAGAGGGAAAGGUCAUUAAAACACAGUGAUUAAAGGUCGGGACACCACACACGGCAGUCUUGACCAUAAUUAUUAUACGUAAGGCAAGGUUUGAAGGGAGUGGAGACCUUGAACUUGUUUGGCCUUCCUUGGCGGGUUAGCAGAGGGAAAGGUCAUUAAAACACAGUGAUUAAAGGUCGAGACACCACACACGGCAGUCUUGAUCUUAAUUAUUGUACGUAAGGCAAGGUUUGAAGGGAGUGGAGACCUUGAACUUAUUUGGCCUUCCUUGGCGGGCUAGCAGAGGGAAAGGUCAUUAAAACACAGUGAUUAAAGGUCAGGACACCACACACGGCAGUCUUGACCUUGGUUAUUCUACGUAAGGCAAGGUUUGAAGGGAGUGGAGACCUUGAACUUAUUUGGCCUUCUUUGGCGGGCUAGCAGAUGGAAAGGUCAUUAAAACACAGUGAUUAAAGGUCAGGACACCAUACAUGACAGUCUUGACCUUGGUUAUUCUACGUAAGGCAAGGUUUGAAGGGAGUGGAGACCUUGAACUUAUUUGGCCUUCUUUGACAAGCUACUAGAGAGAAAGGUCAUUAGAACACUGAUUAAAGGUCGGGAUACCGCACAUGGCAGCCUUGACCUUAGUUAUUAUACAGAAGGCAAGGUUUGAAGAGAGUGGAGACUUUGAACUUAUUUGGCCUUCCUUGACAAGCUAC